rnacentral:tRNA from 1 species
GGGGAUGUGGCUCAGUGGCACAGCACCUGCCUGGCAAGCACAAGGUCCUGAGUUCAAUUCCCAGUACCA